GAAAUGCGAUAAGUAAUGUGAAUUGCAGAAUUCAGUGAAUCAUCGAAUCUUUGAACGCACAUUGCGCCCGCCAGUAUUCUGGCGGGCAUGCCUGUUCGAGCGUCAUUACAACCCUCAGGCCCCCGGGCCUGGCGUUGGGGAUCGGCGGAAGCCCCCUGCGGACACAACGCCGUCCCCCAAAUACAGUGGCGGUCCCGCCGCAGCUUCCAUUGCGUAGUAGCUAACACCUCGCAACUGGAGAGCGGCGCGGCCACGCCGUAAAACACCCAACUUCUGAAUGUUGACCUCGAAUCAGGUAGGAAUACCCGCUGAACUUAAGC
rnacentral:misc_RNA from 1 species